rnacentral:rRNA from 1 species
UACGGAGGGAGCAAGCGUUAUCCGGAAUCACUGGGUUUAAAGGGUGCGUAGGCUGGUGCAUAAGUCAGGGGUGAAAGUUUGUCGCUUAACGAUAGAAUUGCCUUUGAUACUGUGCGGCUUGAAAUUAGGUGAGGUUGGCGGAAUGUGACAUGUAGCGGUGAAAUGCGUAGAUAUGUCAUAGAACACCUAUUGCGAAGGCAGCUUGCUAACCUAAAUUUGACGCUGAGGCUCGAAAGCGUGGGUAGCAAACAGG